UACGUAGGGGGCUAGCGUUGUCCGGAAUCAUUGGGCGUAAAGAGCGUGUAGGCGGUCCGGUAAGUCCGCUGUGAAAGUCGGGGGCUCAACCCUCGAAUGCCGGUGGAUACUGUCGGGCUAGAGUGCGGAAGAGGCGAGUGGAAUUCCUGGUGUAGCGGUGAAAUGCGCAGAUAUCAGGAGGAACACCUAUUGCGAAGGGAGCUCGCUGGGACGUAGCUGACGCUGAGACGCGAAGGCGUGGGGAGCAAGCAGG
rnacentral:rRNA from 1 species